rnacentral:rRNA from 1 species
GACAGAGGGGGGAAGCGUUGUCCGGAGUUACUGGGCGUAAAGGGCGCGGAGGCGGUCUGCGGCGUCGGCACUGAAAGCGCCCCGCUUAACGGGGCGAGGCGUGCCGAUACGCGCAGACUUGAGGCGAGCAGAGGGUGGUGGAAUUCCGGGUGGAGCGGUGAAAUGCGUAGAGAUCCGGAGGAACGCCAGUGGGGAAGCCGGCCACCUGGGCUCGUCCUGACGCUGCGGCGCGACCGCGUGGGGAGCAAACCGC